rnacentral:rRNA from 1 species
AGUGGCGGACGGGUGAGUAACGCGUGAGAAUCUGCCUUGGGGUCGGGGACAACCACUGGAAACGGUGGCUAAUACCGGAUACGCCUUCGGGUAAAAGAUUUAUUGCCCUAAGAGGAGCUCGCGUCUGAUUAGCUAGUUGGUGAGGUAAGAGCUCACCAAGGCAGCGAUCAGUAGCUGGUCUGAGAGGACGAUCAGCCACACUGGGACUGAGACACGGCCCAGACUCCUACGGGAGGCAGCAGUGGGGAAUUUUCCGCAAUGGGCGAAAGCCUGACGGAGCAAGACCGCGUGAGGGAGGAAGGCUCUUGGGUUGUAAACCUCUUUUCUCAGGGAAGAAGCUCUGACGGUACCUGAGGAAUCAGCCUCGGCUAACUCCGUGCCAGCAGCCGCGGUAAUACGGAGGAGGCAAGCGUUAUCCGGAAUUAUUGGGCGUAAAGCGUCCGCAGGUGGCGAUUCAAGUCUGCUGUCAAAGCACGGGGCUUAACUCCGUAAAGGCAGUAGAAACUGAAUAGCUAGAGUGCCGUAGGGGUAGAGGGAAUUCCCGGUGUAGCGGUGAAAUGCGUAGAGAUCGGGAAGAACAUCGGUGGCGAAAGCGCUCUACUGGACGGCAACUGACACUCAGGGACGAAAGCUAGGGGAGCGAAUGGGAUUAGAUACCCC